GGAUGUGAGGGCGAUCUGGCUGCGACAUCUGUCACCCCAUUGAUCGCCAUUGUUGAUUCGGCUGAUCUGGCUGGCUAGGCGGGUGUCCCCUUCCUCCCUCACCGCUCCAUGUGCGUCCCUCCCAAAGCUGCCUGCUCAGUCAAAGAGGACGGCCUUCCCAGAAUAGAGACAGACCUCUCUUUGGUCGAGUGUAUAGGAGUAGCUGCGCUCCUCUGCUAGAACCUCCAAACAAGCUCUCAAGAAAUAAAGAUAAUAAAAUUUUUAAAAAGAUGUAUUUUUCUGUUUAUUGAAUAUAAGCUAAUUCUUUAAUGCUUU
rnacentral:snRNA from 1 species